AUCUAGCUGACGAGUCCAAAAGAGGACGAAACGCACGUAUUGGGU
rnacentral:hammerhead_ribozyme from 1 species